GGACUACCGGGGUUUCUAAUCCGUUUUGCUCCCCACGCUUUCGUGCCUCAAUGUCAGUAACAGAAUAGUUAACUGCCUUCGCCUUAUUGAUGUUCUCCCAUAUAUCUUUGCAUUUUACCGCUCCACAUAGAAUUCCGUUAACCUCUCCUGUACUCUAGCAAAAUAGUAUUACCAACUUCCACGAGGUUGAGCCUCGUUUUCACUGAUAACUUGUUCUGCCAUCUACGCACCCUUUACGCCCAAUAAUUCCGGAUAACGUUCGCCACCUAUGUCUUACCGCGGCGGCUGGCAC
rnacentral:rRNA from 1 species